GAUCAUGGCUCAGGAUAAACGCUGGCGGCGCACAUAAGACAUGCAAGUCGAACGGACUUAACUCAUUCUUUUUAGAUUGAGAGCGGUUAGUGGCGGACUGGUGAGUAACACGUAAGCAACCUGCCUAUCAGAGGGGGAAUAACAGUGAGAAAUCAUUGCUAAUACCGCAUAAGCUAGUAGCAUCGCAUGAUUUUUUGAUGAAAGGAGCAAUCCGCUGAGAGAUGGACUCGCGUCUGAUUAGCUAGAUGGUGGGGUAACGGCCUACCAUGGCGACGAUCAGUAGCCGGACUGAGAGGUUGAACGGCCACAUUGGGACUGAGACACGGCCCAGACUCCUACGGGAGGCAGCAGUGGGGGAUAUUGCGCAAUGGGGGAAACCCUGACGCAGCAAUGCCGCGUGAAGGAAGAAGGUUUUCGGAUUGUAAACUUCUUUUGUUAAGGACGAAGAAUGACGGUACUUAACGAAUAAGCUCCGGCUAACUAUGUG
rnacentral:rRNA from 1 species